rnacentral:rRNA from 1 species
UAGUAAUGGCGAAUGAAGAGGGAAAAGCCCAAAUUUGUAAUCUGGCUCUUUCAGAGUCCGAGUUGUAAUUUUAAGAACUGUUUUCAGUGCUGGACCAUGUUCAAGUCUGUUGAAAAGCAGCAUCAUAGAAGGUGAUAAUCCUGUUCAUGAUAUGGACUACCAGUGCAAUAUGAUACAGUCUCUAAGAGUCGAGUUGUUUGGGAAUGCAGCUCAAAGUGGGUGGUAAAUUCCAUCUAAGGCUAAAUAUUGAUGAGAGACCGAUAGCAAACAAGUACCGUGAGGGAAAGAUGAAAAGAACUUUGGAAAGAGAGUUAACAGUACGUGAAAUUGUUAAAAGGGAAACAAUUGAAGUUAGACUUGUUAUUAUUAGUUCAAACCUUUUUAAGGGAGUAUUCUAAUGAUUAACAGACCAAUGUCAAUUUUUGAGUGUUGGAUAAGGGUUUAAGGAAAUGUAGCAGUUUCUGACUGUGUUAUAGUCCAUGAGCUUUGAUACAAUGCUUAAGAUUGAGGAAUGCAGUAAGC